CAAAUAAAAAACAACAGCAGAGGGUCACCAACAGGUCUUCAAUGUAGCGAGAAAUUCCCACACCCGGAGGCGUCCUUCAGCUGGCCCCUAAACAAAUAUAUACUAGUCCAGUGAUAAUGAACGCCAUACUAAUUUCCAAAUUGUACACAAGAAACUAAAAUUAAAAUAAUACAAGACUAACAAAGGCCAGAGGCUCCUGACUUGGGACAGGCGCAAAAAUGCGGCGGGGUUAAACAUGUUUGUGAGAUCUCAACCCUCCCCCUAUACCUCUAACCAAUGUAGUAAAGUAAACGCAUAACAAUACGCACAUUAAAAUUCAGUUCAAGAGAAAUCCGAGUCUGAUGUCAGAAGAUGUAACCAAAGAAAAUAAACAAAAUGACAAUAAUACAUAAAUAACAACAGACUACUAGCAGUUAACUGUCAUGCCAG
rnacentral:lncRNA from 1 species